GAUCGGAAAGAGCGGAGCUUUGUGGAUGUUUCUGGACGGCUACUAAUCUGCCGAAGAUUUCUACUUUAAUAAUGGUUUUAGAUUUAGCGCAAAGGAACGAAAUUAAUUUAACCAUAUUGAAUUUCAUGUUUGCCGACUUUUUUUCGCCGAAUGUGGCUGAUAUCUCUUCGGUGUGGCGUCGAAUCGGUCCAAUAGCCCUACAUAGUAGAGCCUUGUAAUUUGUGUUUUCAGGCCAUCUGGACUAGACAACGUGCUACCAAGUUGAAACUCAUUAAACCAUUUUUUGAUGGUCUCCAUCGAAUGAGAAGGAUCACUAUACAUGUAUCUAAACGCUCCUAGAUUAAAAUAUAACAAUAGGGGAAGACGUGAAUGUAGAACCUGUGAUUAAAACAAUUGAAAAACAAAUUUAGAUGGUUUAGACACCUUUGUAGGAUGUAGAAUGGAGAGAAUUAUUUUAUAACGAAUGAAAAUACGGAGCUCCUAGAGCAAAGAGUUGCGAGAACAGAAAUCAGAUUAGAUGAGCUAAAAGUUGUGAAACUACCUCGCUAACACUUUGAUAUAUGGUGUACCUUUGACUGUUUGCCACUCAUAUAGCGACGACUUGACAAAGUUCUCUAUCUAGAGACUAAGCGGCUCACCCCUUUUGGCUUUAAGAAACUUGAAUGUAAGUACCGCAGCCUUUAACUAUCGACAGCCUCGUACUCACGGAGAAGGUGCUAGGUUGUUCGCUUCGAUUCCAUGCAGAAAGAACCAGAGCUGUACGAAGUGUCUAAUGAGCGUACCAUUUACUUUUCUCAGUCCAUCUUUGUCCAGUGUCCAGUCCAAUGAAAGAACCCUCUGACAUCAGUUGGUUGAUUUGAAAUAAAUCUAUUUGAUUUUUUCAGACCUGGAGUCAUACUCCAUGUUGCUGAUUUUUUGUUUUUUCUUUUUCUGUAACCACGAAUUGAUAUUUUUUUAAGAAAAUUCCUAUAAUAGUUUUGGCUCAAUUGUAUAAGACUCAAGUACUACUUGGAUGGUUACUCUACUAUCUAAAUAAAUAUCUUUGUAUUGCGGUAGUUACGUUGAGUUUUCCAUAUACAAAUAGUGUAUGUUUCCGCCUGGAAAAUAGAACCAGUCAGAUAAGCAAGUGUUACAAACAAGGGUGGUACAAGGACUUUUAGAAAGUCUGGGAGAUUAACAAUAGCACUGGACGGUCAUUAAUGACUACCAUGACCGACAAUGUGACGACAGUAAUCUCAGAUUGACGAUUAAGGGUUAAAUAUUCCGAAAACUCAAGUUAUCAACAAUAACCAUUGAAAUUUAAAAUACGAUUUGGG